ACACUAGCGUGUGGGAUACAUGUUGAUGAGGCGCCUGGGUCUGUGAGAAAGCUUCAGGCCAGGAAAGCAGCAGGAAGACGGUAGGGUAGGGUAGAGGACCCUGGGCUGAGCCUCUGGACCUCUCAGAGUGGCCCCAGUGCACCCAGGACACGCCCCUCCCCACCCACUGACCACCCACCAGCUGACCGCCCCUGGGGCACUGUCUUCCGCUCAAGUGGGAUGAAGCACGCCCUGCUGCCCUCUCCGUCUGCUGGACCUGACAACCGCUCCCCCUCAGCACAUCAUUCCAGUGCUUGUAAAAACACAGACUCCAGGGUCCCUGUCCUGCUCUGCUGAAUGACUGCAGGAAGGCCUGAGAAUCUGUAUUUGUAACACGUUUCUCCAGCUCCCCCCAACCCCGAUGAUGUGGAUUCACACUGAUGUGUGGGAAGCCUGAACCUGAGGAUGAGGACAAGUCCUCUGGCAACAGAAUGAGAAAUGAACUGGAAAAAAAAGACAAGUCUGGCUUUUCUGCAGAAGAUGCCCCAGCAGAGACUCUGACUGGAUUUUGCUCCCCUUUGCAUCUCUCAUGCCACCUGGCACACGGUGAAUGAACAAAUUCAUGAACAAACAAACACCUGAAUGAACAAAUCAAUGCCUCUAAUAUUCUGUUCCCCAGUUCAAGGCCACACCUGACC
ensembl:lncRNA